rnacentral:rRNA from 2 species
AGUGGCAGACGGGUGAGUAAUGUAAAGGAAUCUACCUAGUAGUACGGAAUAAUUGUUGGAAACGGCAACUAAUACCGUAUACGCCCUACGGGGGAAAAAUUUAUUGCUAUUAGAUGAGCCUAUAUUAGAUUAGUUAGUUGGUGAGGUAAAGGCUUACCAAGACAAUGAUCUAUAGCUGAUCUGAGAGGAUGAUCAGCCACACUGGAACUGAGAUACGGUCCAGACUCCUACGGGAGGCAGCAGUGGGGAAUAUUGGACAAUGGGCGAAAGCCUGAUCCAGCCAUGCCGCAUGAGUGAAGAAGGCCCUCGGGUUGUAAAGCUCUUUUAGUGAGGAAGAUAAUGACGGUACUCACAGAAGAAGUCCUGGCUAACUCCGUGCCAGCANCCGCGGUAAUACGGANAGGGCUAGCGUUNUUCNGAAUCAUUUG